rnacentral:rRNA from 1 species
GACGAACGCUGGCGGCGGGCUUAACACAUGCAAGUCGAACGGAAAGGCCCUGCGUGUGUGGGGUGCCCGAGGGGCGAACGGGGGAGUAACAGGUGAGUAACCUGCCCUAGACUUUGGGAUAACUUCAGGAAACUGGGGCUACUACCGGACAGGAGCUGCUGCUGCAUGGUGGGGGUUGGAAAGUCUCGGCGGUUGGGGCUGGACGCGCGGCUGAUGAGCUUGCUGGUGGGGUAGUGGUUGACCAAGGCUUUGGCUGGUAGCCGGCCGGGGAGCGUGGACGGCCACCUUGCGCCUGCGAUACGGCCCAGUCUCCUACGGGAGGCAGCGGUGGGGAGUCUUGCACAAUGGGAGCAAGCCUGAUGCAGCGGCGCCGCGUGCGGGAUGACGGCCUUCGGGUUGUGAACCGCUUUCGCCUGUGACGAAGCGUGAGUGACGGUAAUGGGUAAAGAAGCACCGGCUAACUACGUG